GGAACCUGUCACGCAUACUCCUGCUGAACUGCGCCUCUUCUAUGACCAAAGUCAUAUAUUGACGUUGACGUCCUGCCUCCAGCUGCCUUUAGAGUGUGACCUCCUUGGAAGUGUUUUAUUUUCCCCCAGAGGGACAGACCAUAAUUCAACAUGACUGCUCCCAGGACAAAGACUCAAGAUAGAAUAACCAGGCCACAACGAUCUGUUGUCUCUGAAAGUCGCUGGUUGAGCUGAACUGGCAGUCAACUGGAUCCUUCCAACAACAGCCUGCCUUUCCUUGCUGCCGACAGACCAAGCAUGGCUCCUCCUUUAGCAACGGCUGCUGGAGCCUUUAUCCAGUAGCUGAUGGAAACAGAAGCAGAGACCCACAGCUAAGCACUGAGCUGAACUCCUGGAAUCCAGUUGUAGAGAAGGAAGAGGGAUGAGCAAAGGUGUCAAGACCAUGCUGGGGAAACCCACAGAAACAGAUGACCUGAACAAGGAGGAGCUCAUGAACCCCAGACUGUACAAGGUUUACAGUACAAUAACUAAAUUUCCUCCUGUGUAGUGGGCCUCUAAUCCAGUCAGAAAGCAGUUGGUUACUGAUUUGUUUGCCACUAUUGCACUAUAGGCACUAUAGGUACACUUUGCCUGGCAGGUCAGUAGUGUAGCUUGCAGGGUCCAUAGCUGAGUAAGACUGUUGAAGACUUUUUCUCCCCAGUAGCACCUUCUAGCACUGUGAAUGCUGGCCAGAAUAUGUGUGUGUGUGUGUGUAAAUUCUCUUUUCUUUCUCUGUUCCUUUGUUUCUCUCUCGUUCUGUCUUUUUGUUCUCUCUCCCUCUCCCCCGCCCCUCUCUGUUCUUAUUCUGUAG
rnacentral:lncRNA from 1 species